rnacentral:sRNA from 1 species
UUUUGCUUGGUCUGAGUCUCCAGAUUGUUUGCCCACAGCCAGACUUUCCUCUUUCCUGUUGAGCUGUGGUUAGGAGACUAAUCAAGAUUGACAUAUUCAUUAACCCAAUAUAUAGAAAGGAGAUGGAUAAGUUGACACAGAUGCCAAGAUGGAGAAGAUCAAGGCUGGUGUCAAGAAAGCCUUAGGAAGAUAGAGGCAUUGGAGGCAAGGCAGAGGUGUUGAUGAAAGCAUGUUGGAGAAAUAAUGAAGAAUCAAUUAUGAAGGGUCAGAACAAAAAUGACAAAAUUAGUCAUGUUGUGACCUGGAACCACUCAAGAGGAACCAUUGUUUCUGCAUCAUUGACCAUCGUCAUUUCUGAAAUAUCAUAUCAUUCAAAUUCUGUAACUUUAAUUGAACUAAAGAGUUAAGAACCUAUUUUUUUGUUUGACUUUAUUUCUAUAUUCUAUUAUUCUAUGUAACUUAAUUCCCUUUGUUAGGUUUUAGAUCUCAAGAUAUUUAAUUCAAUUUUGAUUAUACAUAUACCACAUGGUAUAAUCCAUGUACAUUGCAAAUGCAAUGGUUGUUGAUUCUUGCAUGCUAAUUUAAGUCUCAAUUUUAUUUUUUGCCUUGUGAAUUUUGGCUUUGAACAAGAAUCUCCUUUUUUGAAAACUUUUUAGCACUUUUAUCAUCAUGGGGAAAUGUUAGUAUGAUGAAAGUGCAUGUACAUGUAUCACUACAUAAUUUGCUUGUAAUGAAAUAAAUAACUUUACACGAUAAAUUUGUAUGUAUAACC